AACGCACCUUGCGCCCCUUGGCUAUUCCGAGGGGCAUGCCUGUUUGAGUAUCAUGAACACCUCAACUCUCAUGGUUUGCCAUGAUGAGCUUGGACUCUGGGGGUUUUGCUGGCCUGUGGUCGGCUCCCCUCAAAUGAAUCAGCCUCCCAGUGUUUGGUGGCAUCACGGGUGUGAUAAAUAUCUACGCUCAUGGUCGUCUGCCAGGUAACCUUUGGUGACAAAGGUUUGCUGGAGCUCAUAGAUGUCUCUUCUCAGUGAGGACAGCUUUUUGAACGUUCGAUCUCAAAUCAGGUAGGACUACCCGCUGAACUUAA
rnacentral:misc_RNA from 2 species